rnacentral:lncRNA from 1 species
AAUCAGGAUUAGGCCGUAGGGCUGUCAGGCUGCCGGCCCUGUCUCCAUGGAUACCUAAUUUGGAGGAGAAUAGAGGACUGAAGAAUGUUUGUGUUGUCCGCACGGGCUGUGGCGGCGGAGCGGUCUCCUGCUUUCCGCCCGGCAGCGAGGAGUGGGGACCCGGUUCCAGCCCAACUCUGGGCUUACGGCGCAGGGCCAAGUCCCAGGCAAAGAGGAGCCCCAGAUGCAGACCCAAGAGGAGACAGGCACUGGAAGGACCUCACCAGCCCCAGAUCACAGGGCCACCCCAAGUGGACAGAGGACAGUCCAUGGCGGCCUCCACUGAGCACCUGCGCCCUCCCCGCAGUGCCCAUCACUGAGUGCACAGGUGUGAGGCUGCGUUGUGUGCUAGAAACAGA